AGAGUGGCUGACUUGUGCUUGUUUCUCCUUCAGACCAAAGCAAACCUUGUGAGCCCGAGAAACGGGGAGCCACUUAUUGCUGCCAUUCAGGACUUCCUAACAGGUGCUGUCAGUGAUCCAGGACCAUCCCCAUUAUCUGCCUCUGAGAGCUGGACAAGAGCAACAGCCCCCUCACCAUGGCCCUGUGUGGCUCCACAGGUUCCUUCAUUAACAUAUCACAGAUGAUCGCCUGUGUGGGACAGCAAGCCAUCAGUGGCUCCCGGGUUCCUAUGGCUUUGAAAACAGAUCUUUGCCUCACUUUGAGAAGCAUUCGAAGAGAAGGCUGGUCAAAUCCCUGGAAGACCUCUGCUCCAGUAUAAUCUGACAGUGCAGAGCUUCACUGUGACAUCAUCUGGAUCAUCUACGGAGAUGUCUGAGAUCCUGCUGCCUUGGAGUCAAGAUGAGCCUCUGGAGUUUAAAAGGGUUCUGGACAACAUCAAACUGAGAUACAUCACUCUGUUAACAGGCAGUGUUUCCAUGUCAGAGCAAACCUGCUCUCAGUAAGAAGGAGCUCACAUUGACCACUGAGGCCAUCAUGAAGAAGAACAAGUUCCUCUCCUGCCAAGACAGCUUCCUGCAGGAAAUGAAAACAUUGAUUAAAAGCAUAUCUGAGAAGAUCAAGAAAACCAGAGAUAAAUAUGGCAUCAACGAUAAUGGCACAACAGAGGUAUGGCCUUCCCAGACUGGUGGGACACAGUGUUUCACAGAUGCAGCUAGUCUUGACUGUGCACUUGGCUUUGUCCUUCUAUUCUCGGGUGCUGUACCAGUUGGACCAUAUCCCCCCUACCCAAAUAGAGAAGUUUCUGGAGACACGUACAGUCAGGAUACCCUUCCCUGCUGAGCUGUCCUAGCAGCUCCAGGCCUGAAUCUCCCAAGCAGUCAGAAUACCUUCCCUUCCAUACUGAGCUGUCUCAUCACACCUCGAGGUAUCCAGGAUACCUCGCCCUCCAGGGCUGAGCUGUCUCAUCACGGCUCCAGCUGUGAGAGCUGUCUUAGCAGCUCAAGGUGUAGCCUGACUUCCCAAGUAGUCAGGAUACCCUUCCCAGAGUUGCAAAACUCACAUUUUGGUGUGGAAACCCAAGACCAAACCCACAGAGUAGCAACAGUAACAUACAGACACCACGGCAGAGGCCUACAAGUCACCUUGCAGUUCUGGGAAUUGAACUCAGGACCUCUUGAGCAGCCUGUGCUGUCAUCCUCUGAACCACGUCUUAGCCACCUGAUUUUUUUUAAGCCUACUGGUUGCAUGAAAGGGAACAUAUUAAACUAGCUAGCAUUCUUGAGCACUAGAUGAGUAGACAUUUCAUCCCUUUGAUGUCAUUACUUAGACAUGAAUAGCCCUGAUUGAUUUUUUUUAUUUGGUUUGUAGCCAUUCUCUGUAAACCCCAAGUGAUGCAAUAAUAUUUUCAAGAGACCCUAGACUAUAAGAACUAGAGAUAUAUCAUGUUUUUUGGGAUAAAAAUUUGCCUAUUCUCAAAGUUUUGCAGAAGAAUAACAUCAAAUGAGAAAUAGCUGUUUCUGGUUGUAGACCAGCAACUUUGGAUAUCCAGGGUGGUUGGAGGUCUUACUGCCUCUGUAGUAUACUGAGAUUUAUUCCAAGACCCUGUGUUGAUGGGAUACUGUCUCCUGUGCAGAAAAAAGAUGGUAGUGGUGGUCGGAGGAGCAGGGGUAUUGCUGAAGAGGGCCAGAGUGAGGUGAAUUUGAUAUAUCUGGUCACCAAAUGAAGCUUUCAGUACUGGCAAUGGGUUACAUUUAGUCAAUUUCUUGGCCAAAUGGGUCCAGUGGGACCCCAGACAACCCAAGGUAUUAUGGUUGCUCUCCAUAAACUGACAGGAUGGUGCUAUUCUUGAAGAUGACACCAACAUAACUGAUUGAACAUGAAUCAGUCAAGCUGAUGUCUCCCUUGAUCCCUCACCAUAUAUGGACUAGAUUUCCUGGCAUUGGAAGGUACUCUGCUCACUAUCAAAGAGAAAAGUAAACACCAACCCAGCUACAAUAGUGACUGCAUCCAAGAUAUGCUGGUGCUGUAGUGGAACAAACCUUGUGGGAGAAACCAACCAAUAUCUGACUUGAUUAAGGCCCACUCCAUGAGAUGGAACUCAUAACCACAACUGCAUGGGUGGACAAGACCUGAGAACGGAUAGGCCAGGGUCCACAGGGAAAACCAAAUACUACUGUUCUGCAAAAGGGGCAUAGCAAUAAAAUGACUCCUAACAACAUUCUGCUGUACUCAUAGAUAAUGCCUUUCUUAGCCUUCAUCAGAGCAGCCUCCUCCUGCAGCAGAUGGGAACAAAUACAGAGACCCUCAGUAAAUUAUAGGCAGAGAGGAAGAGAUCGUGAACACUCAACUCUAAACAGGACAUAUACACUUAAGCUCCUUCCCUCAGGACUUAGGGAACCCUGUGGAAGAGGAGGUGAAAAGAAUAUCACAGAAUACUGCAGAUGGCAGGACCAUGGUCCAUCUACUGAGGUGAAACACAGAUGCAGAGUGGAACCAGACUAAUCCUGAGAAAAGCUGCACUGCAUGUGUUGCACAGGGUAUAGCUGGAGAGAGAGAAAUGCCCCACCCAUUUGGAGCCCAGAAGUUCACAUGAGUACCAGAUGCUGGACAUUGGGCUGUAGGAUUUUAAUUAAUAAGAUGGAUUUUGGUAUUCUUCCCAUCUGAAAAUUUCUGUGCUUCAGCUCUUCUCUUGUGGAAUAAGAAAAUAUCUAAUUUUUUAAAUUUUAAUUUACCACAUCCAACUAAUAGACUUUUGUUUUGUUUGUUUUUUAGAGAUCUUGGACUUUUGAAGUAUUAUAAUUUUUAAAGAUUGUGGGAUUUUUAAAACUUACACUG